UACAUCCACAAACCAGCCCGAUCAUAAACAACAUUUCUAGUAGUUAACAAACAUGAGGACUAGUACCCAAAUUAUUGUAAUGCUCCGCCUUAGCCUCGCCCUCCUAUUAGCACUCUCAUCAUCAGGAUUAUUAACGAAGGAGAAGGCACCAGAAGAAAGCGUCUACAAGCCUGAGUAUUAUGAGAACCAGUUUACCAUAUCGCGUCCCUACUGUGAUCUUGGGACUUGCAUCAACUUCUGCCAUUAUGCACGAUAUAAAACCGGAAACUGCGUGACAAACAUGUGCAUAUGCAAGAAUUCGCCGUAGAGAGGAAAGAAACUGAACGGCUAGAGAGGACUUGUGGACAGAUACAUAGUAUAUAGCGCUUGUAUUGGCAUUACAUGGUCUGUUAUGGCCUAAUAAUAAGAAAUAAUGUUACUGUCCA